GCCGUGAUCACCUGCAACUGGUGCAUCGCCUGCUUCGCGGAUGUCCGCGCUGCGUUCGCUGCACGCUCCGCUUGUUGCAACUGCAGAUUCUCACCAUCCACUGCCACGUGGGCGUCCCGCGAUUGCUGCUCCAGGCCCUGCACCACGAUCUGCUUGCCAGCGAGCGCAGCUGCUGCGGUGGCAGCCGAUUGAGCUGCAGCCUGUGCCAACGUGUUUUUCGCAACAUACGCAGCCUGGCCGGCCGCGGACUCCUGGUUGCUCAAUUGUGUGUGAGCCUGUUCCGCUGCACCUUUCGCGAUGCCGGCCAGCGGCCCGCCCACGCUGUAGCCUGGUUUCGUGGGACCUCGAGGGGAGCUAAUCGCGACUGCUGAUAAGCCUGGUUCCGGGUCCAAAUACGCUGCCGAGUCGGCCAGGCCUAGCGAAGACUCAUGUUGGGCAUACCCAUAGUCGUAACCACCCAGUUGAGGAUCAAGCACUUGCUUCUUCGCGGGACCACCGUGUGCUAGGCAAAGACAGCCCAGUAGCAGGAAAAGUUUCUUCAUUGUUGAGGUCUUCGGAAUAUAGUCCAGUAUCAGGUCAACGGCUUCUGUAAAGAGAAAUGACUGGUGAAUUUGGUUUCGUUCUAAACAAGAAACAUUGAUGGUACAACAUGAUUCUGCAAUCGUGCAGCUUGACGCUGUUAUGUGAAUGCAUAGUACGGGUGUGACCAUAACAUUAGGAAAAAUUCGCCUUGACCUGCUAUCUACUGUCGCUUCACCUUGAAUAUGGUGAACGGUAAAUCAUAUACUUAAUUACAUCGUGGAUGUAAAUCAUAAUGAAUUUAUAAGGGAAACAAUUACAUACAAACACAAGAUUCUAUGGAUGUAUUGAAUAAAAAUGUGACACGAAGUGUAUGCAAACUAAA